AGCGAACGCUGGCGGCAUGCUUAACACAUGCAAGUCGCACGGUUGGGGGCAACUCCGGCAGUGGCGGACGGGUGAGUAACGCGUAGGAAUCUAUCCUUGGGUGGGGGACAACCGUGGGAAACUACGGCUAAUACCGCAUGAUGCCUGAGGGCCAAAGACGAAAGUCGUUUGAGGAGGAGCCUGCGUCUGAUUAGGUAGUUGGUGGGGUAAAGGCCUACCAAGCCUACGAUCAGUAGCUGGUCUGAGAGGAUGAUCAGCCACAUUGGGACUGAGACACGGCCCAAACUCCUACGGGAGGCAGCAGUGGGGAAUAUUGGACAAUGGGCGCAAGCCUGAUCCAGCAAUGCCGCGUGGGUGAAGAAGGUCUUCGGAUUGUAAAGCCCUUUUGGCGGGGACGAUGAUGACGGUACCCGCAGAAUAAGCUCCGGCUAACUUCGUG
rnacentral:rRNA from 1 species